CUGGGUGACGUCCUCUGCUAUGUCGACGGUGUCAAUUUCUUCUUCUUCUUCUUCCUCCUGCUCACCUCCUCAAAGAAACCAAGAUGCUGCACAAAGAGACUCGAGCACCAAAACCCACCACACCCUCUUUCUAUCUCUAAAGAUAGAUCCUUGUGAUCCAAUCCAGAUCAGACAAACCCAAGUACAUGCAUGUGGGGGUGUGAAACAAACAAAGAAUAUUUUAAAGAAAACCCGAAAAGAGUUACAAUAGGAAGACCAGAAGUGGGGAAUCUGGUAAAGAAAUAGAAAGGAUACAGAGACAAGAAAGGAAUACAGGAAAGCAACAAAACCCCAUCACACAACCGAACCCCAAAAACGAAACAGUAAAAAGAAAAAAAUCUCUUUUUUAACCCUUAUGUAUUGCAAAAAGUAAAAAAAUCCAACAGAAGAAUCAGACUGUUACACCACUUGUAAAAGUAUUUCAUACAGAGAAAGCCAGAGCUCCAAAGAAAUAGAGAAAAGGGACGAGUAAAAUAACAAAAA
rnacentral:misc_RNA from 1 species